GGCGCGUUGGCCGAGUGGUUAGGCAGAGCUCUGCAAAAGCUUGCACGCCGGUUCGAUUCCGGCUCGUGCCUCCA
rnacentral:tRNA from 1 species